rnacentral:rRNA from 1 species
UGCCAGCAGCCGCGGUAAUACGUAGGGGGCGAGCGUUAUCCGGAUUUAUUGGGCGUAAAGGGUACGCAGGCGGCUUUAUAAGUCAGGUGUGAAAGGCAGUGGCUCAACCAUUGCAAGCACUUGAAACUGUAAGGCUUGAGUACUGGAGAGGAAAGUGGAAUUCCUAGUGUAGCGGUGAAAUGCGUAGAUAUUAGGAGGAACACCAGUGGCGAAGGCGACUUUCUGGACAGAUACUGACGCUGAGGUACAAAAGCGUGGGGAGCAAACAGGAUUAGAUA